rnacentral:lncRNA from 1 species
GCCCCCGACAUCCUAUUUGCUGUUCCUUCCUUGUGCCACAUGUGCCAACCCCUGUGCCUGGGCCUGAGAACAGCAUUUGCUCAGACACUGUUAUUAUCCACAGGGGUCUGUGCCAUCACCAGAGGGAGAGACAGAAACAAGCUGAGGGGCACAUGUACAGGAGCACAGUGGAGUGCCAGGUACAGCCCAGUCACUACCACGCACCCCAAUGUCGCAGUCCGGCUGCAGCAAAAUAACCAGGGCGGGUGAUGAGCAACUUGUGUACAUCGAUUCAGCAGGAGUGGGAGCCGUUUAUUGUAGGACAGGAGGGGUAUAUAUACAUUACACACAGCUUAUCUUAAUUAACAUAAACUAGAUACAGCAGUCAACCAAUAAGGAAUCUCCACACUUAAUGGCUUGCUGGCGUUACUUCACAAACCACUCCCUCUGGCAAAAUGCCAGGCGCCAUCUUGACUUGUUUAUAGACCCUAACACCCCAAUCCUGCUCUUCUAGCCCGGCUGACUGAAGCUCUUGCACUUUCAGUGCUCCUCAAUGCUUCUCUGCCCUGCCAGCUCCACAUAUGCUAGAAAAACUCAGAAAACUUUCCCCAUAUCCCCCAACUGAGGAUGACAUCCUUCUGUGCUCCUGGUACGAUGGGCACAUUCCUUAUCAUAGCUCCUGGCACGUUGUUCUGGAGUCAGCUUUUUUUCUGACUUGUGCCCCACAAUAGACCUUGCAUCCUGAGAGCAGGAACCAUGUGACUUAUUAUAUGACUGCCUUCGCACUGCUUAGUGUGUACCUGCC